CGGGUUAGACGUGUGUGCAAGUCCCGUUGGAACAGGGUGCCACUGAGGGUGAGAGCCCCGUAGCGUGCAUGUCGACACCUGUGAGUGCCCUUCUGACGAGUCGAGUUGUUUGGGAAUGCAGCUCUAAGUGGGUGGUAAAUUCCAUUCUAAGGCUAAAUAUUGGCGAGAGACCGAUAGCGAACAAGUACUGUGAAGGAAAGAUGAAUAAUGCACUUUGAAAAGAGAGUGAAACAGCACGUGAAAUUGUUGAAAGGGAAGGGUAUUGGGCUCGACAUGGGAUUUUACGCAUCGUUGCCUCUCGUGGGCGGCGCUCUGGGGUUAUCCUGGGGCCAGCAUCGGUUUUCGUUGCAGCGAUAAGGACAAAUUGGAAAUGUGGCUCCUCGGAGUGUUAUAGCCUUUUGUANGAUGCUGCGUAUGGGGGACCGAGGGCUGCCGGCGGACUCGUUUUCGUCUCGAGAUGCUGGCACAAACGGCGCAAUAGCGCCCGUCUUGAAA
rnacentral:rRNA from 1 species